CUCUGUUACUGAAAACCGAGUACGGGCGUUGGGGGAACUCUACGCCCGUUUCCGUGUGUUAAGGGUAAAAUAAAUAUG
rnacentral:sRNA from 1 species